rnacentral:rRNA from 1 species
GGUCAGGACGAACGCUGGCGGCGUGCCUAACACAUGCAAGUCGAGCGAGGAGAUUCCUCGGGAUGAUCCUAGCGGCGGACGGGUGAGUAACACGUGGGCAACCUGCCUCAUAGAGAGGAAUAGCCUUCCGAAAGGGAGAUUAAUACCUCAUAACAUUGCAGUUUCGCAUGGAACAGCAAUUAAAGGAGUAAUCCGCUAUGAGAUGGGCCCGCGGCGCAUUAGCUAGUUGGUGAGGUAACGGCUCACCAAGGCGACGAUGCGUAGCCGACCUGAGAGGGUGAUCGGCCACAUUGGGACUGAGACACGGCCCAGACUCCUACGGGAGGCAGCAGUGGGGAAUAUUGCACAAUGGGGGAAACCCUGAUGCAAGCAACGCCGCGUGAGUGAUGACGGCCUUCGGGUUGUAAAGCUCUGUCUUCAGGGACGAUAAUGACGGUACCUGAGGAGGAAGCCACGGCUAACUACGUGCCAGCCGCAGC